ACAAGUCUUGCCGUCCCCGUGUCGAUGCCUGCACCGCAUGGGGCGACAUUUGUCCCGUGUGCACGUUCGCUCUGCACACGACACUUCUGCGAAUCCUCUGACGUAUCAUGAUCACUUGCAACACAAA
rnacentral:misc_RNA from 1 species